rnacentral:rRNA from 1 species
GUAAGGGGGCGAGCGUUGUUCGGGAUUUACUGGGGCGUAAAGCGUGUCUCGGCGGCUUGUCAAGUCGGGGAGUGAAAUCCCUCGGGCUCACCCGAGGAAUGGCUCUCGAAACUGGCAGGCUUGAGUACGGGAGAGGAGAGCGGAAUUCUCGGUGUAGCGGUGGAAUGCGUAGAUAUCGAGAAGAACACCGGUGGCGAAGGCGGCUCUCUGGACCGUUACUGACGCUCAAGCACGAAAGCCAGGGGAGCGAACGGGAUUAGAUACCCCGGUAGUCCUGGCCGUAAACGAUGUGCACUGGGUGUAGGAAGCAUCGACCCUUCCUGUGCCGAAGCUAACGCAUUAAGUGCACCGCCUGGGGAGUACGAUCGCAAGAUUG